ACAUCAUAAUGGUUCUUUUGCCAACAGGAGCUGGUAAUCAGGAUGGCAGUGAGGCAGGCACUUGCUUGCAGAAGAACAGGCCUAGUUUUUUAAGAAGCCACAAAAGUGUCUUUGGAUGAUUAGGAUCUAAGGGGCCAACAGCUUUGCAAUAACAGCAUAAAUAUUGUGGGCUGGAUGGACAGGCACCAAAUGGGGACAUUCCAUCCUGCUGUGUGAUGAGAAAGCUGCCACUUCUGAGGCCUUCCAAAACAAAUCAACACUCCAUAUGCCAGAAGGAAAAGCCCAGGAAAGACCUAUUCCAACUGGAGAUGGUGAAUGUCAUUUCUUCAAGAAGCUGAGAUCCAGCUGGAAUAUGAAGGGAGAAUGAAACAAAACUGCUCCGCUCAGGGAACUUGGAAAGGAAAUUGAAAAGGCAAGGCACAGGCUGGAAGAAAAUAUUUGAAAAAGAUUUAUGUGAACUUCUUUCUGGAUUAUACAAAAUAUUUUUAGAUAUUCUUACAACUCUAAAAUAAGAUAACUCCUUAAAAAUGUGAAUUCUACCAAAGGAGAGAUGAAGAUGACGAAUAUAUUCAAAGAUGCUGAAAAUCACUUAUUUAUUAUUAGGAAGUUACAAGCUAAAGCAUAAUGAGAUACCACUACAACCUACUAAACUGACUAAAAUUAAUCAGACUAACCAGGUGUUGGCAAGAAACAGGG
rnacentral:antisense_RNA from 1 species